UAGGGAAUCUUCCGCAAUGGACGCAAGUCUGACGGAGCAACGCCGCGUGAGUGAAGAAGGAUUUCGGUUCGUAAAACUCUGUUGUUAGAGAAGAACAGCGCAUAGAGUAACUGUUAUGCGUGUGACGGUAUCUAACCAGAAAGCCACGGCUAACUACGUGCCAGCAGCCGCGGUAAUACGUAGGUGGCAAGCGUUGUCCGGAUUUAUUGGGCGUAAAGCGAGCGCAGGCGGUCAAUUAAGUCUGAUGUGAAAGCCCCCGGCUCAACCGGGGAGGGUCAUUGGAAACUGUUUAACUUGAGUGCAGAAGGGGAGAGUGGAAUUCCAUGUGUAGCGGUGAAAUGCGUAGAUAUAUGGAGGAACACCGGUGGCGAAAGCGGCUCUCUGGUCUGUAACUGACGCUGAGGCUCGAAAGCGUGGGUAGCAAACAGG
rnacentral:rRNA from 1 species